GCUGUCGUCAGCUCGUGUUGUGAAAUGUUGGGUUAAGUCCCGCAACGAGCGCAACCCUUAUCCUUUGUUGCCAGCGGUCCGGCCGGGAACUCAAAGGAGACUGCCAGUGAUAAACUGGAGGAAGGUGGGGAUGACGUCAAGUCAUCAUGGCCCUUACGACCAGGGCUACACACGUGCUACAAUGGCGCAUACAAAGAGAAGCGACCUCGCGAGAGCAAGCGGACCUCAUAAAGUGCGUCGUAGUCCGGAUUGGAGUCUGCAACUCGACUCCAUGAAGUCGGAAUCGCUAGUAAUCGUGGAUCAGAAUGCCACGGUGAAUACGUUCCCGGGCCUUGUACACACCGCCCGUCACACCAUGGGAGUGGGUUGCAAAAGAAGUAGGUAGCUUAACCUUCGGGAGGGCGCUUA
rnacentral:rRNA from 1 species